CAAAAGCCGAGUUUGAUCCAGCGGGGGUUGGGAUGAUAGUUUCACGUGGCGAAAGGUUAAGAUAUUAUUUUUAAUGAAACGGGACGGAAGAGAGAGUCACUUUCACGGGCUCGUAACUGCAAAUUGGGGGUACUUUUCAGCCAAAGAUCUUGGGUGACAGACACAGGACACAGGAGGAGAGGAACCGAAAGAAAUAUUUGCAUUUUCACCCAAGGCAGUUAAAUAUUUGUGGAGCCACGUGAUGGUAAUUAAAAGAUGACUCAGGUUGUGUGUGCUCGGGGUUGAUAAAAAGAUUUUGCCAAGUGCCAAGGAUAAUCAUUAAAAUUUGAUGUGUGCACUUAAAUAUCGCAUGUUCCAUGGGGCCAUCCUCCGGAUGGACUGCGUCCAAAGUCCUGUCACGAUAUGUCAGUCGGCGUGACCUGCUGCACCGCCGGGAACCGCAUGUCAGCGAUGAUGUGAAAAUUGUCAAGGGCAACUCUUUUUCGUUAACACCCAAACACACACACGCUGCAGUUA